CCUACGGGUGGCAGCAGUGAGGAAUAUUGGUCACUUGGCGCGAGCCUGAACCAGCCAAGUAGCGUGAAGGAUGACUGCCCUACGGGUUGUCAGCUUCUUUUAUAAAGGAAUAAAGUGAGGCACGUAUGCCUUUUUGUAUGUACUUUCUGAAUAAGGAUCGACUAACUCCGUGCCAGCAGCCGCGGUAAUAAGGAGGAUCCGAGCGUUAUCCGGAUUUAUUGGGUUUAAAGGGAGCGUAGAUGGGUUGUUAGGUCAGUUGUGAAAGUUUGCGGCUCAACCGCAAAAUUGCAAUUGACACUGGCAGUCUUGAGUACAGUUGAGGUAGGCGGAAUUCGUGGUGUAGCGGUGAAAUGCUUAGAUAUCACGAAGAACUCCGAUUGAGAAGGCAGCUUACUAAACUGCCACUGACAUUGAUGCUCGAAAGUGUGGGUAUCAAACAGGAUUAGAUACCCUAGUAGUC
rnacentral:rRNA from 1 species